rnacentral:lncRNA from 1 species
GGGAACUCCAAAGUAGCGGUACCCGAGGCAGCAGGAUCCACCCUAAUCCCAGAGCCGCCCUAUUCCUGGAGCAGGGUAACCUUUCAACCAUUCCCUCUGGCAAAAUGCCAGGCCUCAUUCCGACUUAACUGUGGCUCUCAACAUCUCCCCUUUUCUGUUUAAUUAAACAACAAGCAUGUGGCUUAGGGACCGUGCCUGUCUUAGGUUGUCCAAUACUACAUAUGGUUCUUACCCGUCAUUGGCUACCAGUCCAGCAUACAGCCAUACUUGUGGAUAGGCCUUUGCACCAGUGGGGGGUAGAGGUUCUUUGCCUCACCUCUGUUGGCCCCCAAAUUUUAGACCAUCACAAGCAGAAGGGAGGAAGAUGCAAAAUGCCACAGCACCAAGCCAAAUGAUGGCUCUUUUUGGAAAAAUUGUACCACCGAUGACACCAUCAGCAAAGAGACCCCCAGCACUACCACAAUUCGCUGCACCAACAGAUAGUUCCCAAUGCAUGCAAGUGAUACAUAGUCCAGGCAAGUUCUGCAAACAGUUCAAAGCAG